UUCACGCGUCUUCCUUUUCUGUGCUCCGCAGAAGCGGAUAGAAGGUGACAGGGGUAGAGAUUGAGGGAGAGAGAGUGUUUAUUUGCCUGGUAGAAAGAGAGACAGAGAGGUUGUUCCUCGAUAGACAUUGGUUUUUCCCAGUCAUUGCUGAGAUUGAUAUUGAUUUUGGGGGCAUUUGGAUUUUCAAUCAGGAUGAGAGCAGUAUCGAAAUUGUCUGAGACGAUAGAGAUGAGAGUGCAUAUACACUGCCCCGGAUGCGAGAGCAAGGUUAGAAGUACACUUCAGAAGCUAAAAGGUAUCGACAAUGUUGAGAUAGACAUGGCUUUGCAGAAGGUCGCAGUGACCGGGUGGGCAAGGGCAAGAGGGUUGUCUUUUUGAAGUAGCUUUCUACUGGUGCUUUUGGUCACUGGGCCAUUUAAGAUUAAUGGUGUUCCUCUUAGACGGGUGAACCAAUCUUAUGUUAUUGGAACUUCAACCAAGGUUAACAUCUCUGGUGUUAACGUGGAGAAUUUUGAUGACAAGUCCUUUGCCAAGGAGGGUCAAAAGAAAAAAAGAAGGGAGAAGGCGAGUUCUUUGAAGUGGAGGAGGUGCUUCGAUUCUUAUUUCCGAUGAGGGAUGACUUGCCAUGCCACUCUCCUCACAAGCAAAGACAUGUUUUAUAAAGCCCUACUCCAAGUUCAAGAUACCUUUCAAGUUUAAGAAUCGUAUAAAGCCCUACUCCAAGUUCAAUAUACCUUCCUACUUUAAGAAUUGAGAUGCUUAAAACUUUAAAAGUGCCUUAUUUACUGUUAGUAUUCUUAAUAAUUCAUACUCUACUCUCUUCAACAGAACUGCAUAUCUAGGGUGCCAAAAUGAAAACCAACUUUGACCCUUCACAAAUUGUUCGGAGACUGGCCGGCAUGUCUUUCUUCUCGAUCAAUUUAGUACGUAUAAAAUUCAGUAAGCAAAGAAACGGCAGCAUUGCGCGGGCCUUUUUGCUAGUUUCCAACGAUUGUGCGUACAUAUCAUAUCCAUUCUUAAUUAAUGGGUUUAUCUCAAAGCUUAGGUGUAUACAUUGUGUUCGAUUUAAGGUACCUGGUCUUAUAUUUGCUUC